rnacentral:tRNA from 1 species
ACAGUGAGACAACAAAAUGUUUAUAUUAUUAUUUUGUCACCUUAGGUCGAUCGGUAUCUCACGUUCUUAAUUUGUUAAGAAUUUCAUUUCCUAAGUUUUUCUAGGUCACACCCAUUAUUUUUCCUGGGCCAUUAGCUCAGGCGGUUAGAGNGCACCCCUGAUAAGGGUGAGGUCCCUGGUUCAAGUCCAGGAUGGCCCAUAUCUCUAUGUUGGGGGUAUAGCUCAGUUGGUAGAGCGCCUGCUUUGCAAGCAGGAUGUCAGCGGUUCGAGUCCGCUUACCUCCACUGAUUACCACCUCUUCCAUAAUCCGUAGAAAGGAAAUGUUUUGAGUUGUGAUCAUUAUUCUGAACGAAUCUAGCUUCCUAAUGAAAUUAUUAAGAUGCUGGACUCAUUGAAUUAAUUUCAUUGUUUUCAGAGAACCUUGACAACUGCAUAGAUUAUUUUUAAAGACAAUAAGCAUCUUUAAUGAUGCAGAUUUAUUAUUUGUGCGAAUGCAUUAAUAACAAUUCUAUUAAGCUGAUGCUUCAAUUUUUGAAGUUAUU